rnacentral:rRNA from 1 species
AGCGAACGCUGGCGGCAGGCUUAACACAUGCGAGUCGAGCGGGCACUUUCGGGUGUCCGCGGCGGACGGGUGAGUAACGCGUGGGAACGUGCCCUCUGGUUCGGAAUAACUCAGGGAAACUUGAGCUAAUACCGGAUACGCCCUUUUGGGGAAAGGCUUGCUGCCGGAGGAUCGGCCCGCGUCUGAUUAGCUAGUUGGUGAGGUAACGGCUCACCAAGGCGACGAUCAGUAGCUGGUCUGAGAGGAUGAUCAGCCACACUGGGACUGAGACACGGCCCAGACUCCUACGGGAGGCAGCAGUGGGGAAUAUUGGACAAUGGGCGCAAGCCUGAUCCAGCCAUGCCGCGUGAGUGAUGAAGGCCUUAGGGUUGUAAAGCUCUUUUAUCCGGGACGAUAAUGACGGUACCGGAGGAAUAAGCCCCGGCUAACUUCGUG